UGCUAUCUGGGAGCUUUUGGUUUUAGGAGCUUUUACAUUUUUUGUGCUUAAUUUUUGCCCGAUUGUUCGAUCUGUUUUGUGUGUUUUUAAAAUGUUUCAGUUAUUCAGUGGUCAUUACAGGAAGCUUGUUCUACACAUUAAAAAUGGAGUGGGUGAAUAUUUGAGGUCUUUUAAUUCUAGAAGUGAAGAAUAUCCAACUGUUUGACUAUUAGCAGGAGCUAUGACCAGCAACCCUUAUGGGCUAUUUGAAUCCAGCAGUUUGAAACGAAUAGGUUUAGACCCUUAGAUUCUGACUUAGGAGUACAACAUUUUUUGAUGUCAGUACAGUUCUCUUUGGGAAUUCUUGGGUCUAUGAAGUAGACAGUUGCAGUAGAACAAGUGGAAGGUAUGGUGGCACACACCUUUAAUCCUAGUACUGUAGAGGGAGAGGCAGGUAGAUCUGUGUAGUGAGACCCUGUCUCAAAAACAAGACAAGACAAAAAACAGAAAAGAAACAGCGGAGGGAGACCUCAAUUUGGAUCUCAUUGACUCUGCCCAUUUACAAACUGUCAAUAAAUUUUACGAAUCUUUAGAAUUUUCUCCAUAGUAUAGUGAUAAGACCAUCUUAUUAUACAGGGGCAGCUAUACUCUUAAGUCACUGGCAUCUUAGCAGAAGUUAUAAAGAUAUCAUUGUCAUAUCAUUGUUAAAUUCAACCUCAUAACUCUUUCCAGGGGUCUUUAGUCAUCUAGAUUGACCCUAGUCUACCUCUAGUUCUAAGAACUAGUAGGACCUAUGACGAUUGUGUGACCCCAAAGGAUUAUGGGGAAUAACUGAAUGAGACAGACUGUCUAGUUUGGGCAAGGGUUCUUUGUGUCCCUCAGAAACAGGACUAUGAAUAGGAAGGGAUAGUGCUAAUUGUUCUUCUAUAACCUUUAGUAUCAACUUUUUAAAACAUUUUAAGUAUUUGACUAGAUAAUUUUAAGUCAACUCCAAACUUGAUUAACCUUACCCAAAAUACAUGGAGCUUGUUUUAACUGGAAUUUAUUUUGACAGUAGGUUUGGGAUUGAUUAAAAGAUAGUGAAGUUGUGUUUUGCAUAUAAAACAAUUGGAAAAUGCAAAAUUUUUGUCUUUUCCUGGGUAAAAGUCACCAAUUUCCUAAUAUUAUAUGCUUAACACAUGGUGUCACUGUGUUCAGUGACAAGAUGUCUAAUAUGUUUUUCUUAGUUGAGAAAGCUUUUGAAACACAGUAUACCAAGAAACAGGAUUUUUUUCAAUAUUUACAAUGAUAACUGUAAAUGUCCCAGGGCAGAUCCUUGCCCUUUGAGAUGAUAGAUCUUGAAUGCUGGCACACUACUUGGGUUUGAUGCCCAGCUCUAAGAAUCCUAGCUAUGUGGAUGACUUGGGGUAGGUUACCUAGCCUGUUUCCUCAUCUGUGAAAUAGGACUGCUUACAUCAUACUGCUGAUCAGGAUUAAGUAUAGUAGAGCUGGUUAGCAUUAAGUUUAGGAAUGCUAGCUUUGAGGAUGGUAUUACAGCAUGAAACAUGAGAAUUUUAAACCUUUUUCAGUAUUCUUUGCCAUCAAAUUCACACUUUGUAAGUAAGCAAUUGAGUUGUUUUUACUAUAUUCACAGAGUUGUAUAAGAACCACUUAUCCCAAAAAUAUUUAGUCACUCCAGAAGAAAACAGUGUACCCAGCUGUGACCCCCCCCCCAUUUUUCUUUUUCCCUUCCCUGGCAACCACUGUUAUACAUUUUGUUUCUAUGGAUUGCCUGUUUUUGACACUUUAUAUAAAUGCAAUAAUACAAUGUUUGGCUUUUUGUGACGGGAUUUCUUAUUUUACGUAGCAUGUAUUAAAAGCUUAUUCAUGCUAGAAAUCGAGGAUUUCUUUUAUGACUAAAUAAUGCUCCACUGUAUGGAUGUGUCAUAUAUUGUUUAUCCAUUUAUCAGUUGAUGGACUUUUGGUUGUUUCCACUUUUUGGUUAUUGUGAAUAAAUAGUGCUGUG
rnacentral:lncRNA from 1 species